AGUGAACGCUGGCGGUAGGCCUAACACAUGCAAGUCGAACGGCAGCACAGUAAGAGCUUGCUCUUACGGGUGGCGAGUGGCGGACGGGUGAGGAAUACAUCGGAAUCUACUUUUUCGUGGGGGAUAACGUAGGGAAACUUACGCUAAUACCGCAUACGACCUACGGGUGAAAGCAGGGGAUCUUCGGACCUUGCGCGAUUGAAUGAGCCGAUGUCGGAUUAGCUAGUUGGCGGGGUAAAGGCCCACCAAGUCGACGAUCCGUAGCGGGCCUGAGAGGAUGCUCAGCCACACUGGCACUGAGACACGGUCCAGACUCCUACGGUAGGCAGCAGUGGGGAAUAUUGGACAAUGGGCGCAAGCCUGAUCCAGCCAUACCGCGUGGGGGAAGACGGCGCUCGGGUUGUAAAGCCCUUUUGUUGGGAAAGAAAAGCAGCAGUUUAAUACCCCGCUGUUCUGACGGUACCCAAAGAAUAAGCCCCGGCUAACUUCGUG
rnacentral:rRNA from 1 species